AGCGAACGCUGGCGGCAGGCUUCACACAUGCAAGUCGAACGCCCCGCAAGGGGAGUGGCAGACGGGUGAGUAACACGUGGGAACGUACCCUUUGGUUCGGAAUAACUUGGGGAAACUCAAGCUAAUACCGGAUAAGCCCUUAUGGGGAAAGGUUUACUGCCGAGGGAUCGGCCCGCGUCUGAUUUGCUAGUUGGUGAGGUAAUGGCUCACCAAGGCGACGAUCAGUAGCUGGUCUGAGAGGAUGAUCAGCCACACUGGGACUGAGACACGGCCCAGACUCCUACGGGAGGCAGCAGUGGGGAAUAUUGGACAAUGUGGGCAACCCUGAUCCAGCCAUGCCGCGUGAGUGAUGAAGGCCUUAGGGUUGUAAAGCUCUUUUACCCGGGACGAUAAUGACUGUACCGGGAGAAUAAGCCCCGGCCAACUACGUGCCAGCCGCCGCAGUAA
rnacentral:rRNA from 1 species